UACGGGGGGGGCAAGCGUUGUUCGGAAUUACUGGGCGUAAAGGGCUCGUAGGCGGCCAACUAAGUCAGACGUGAAAUCCCUCGGCUUAACCGGGGAACUGCAUCUGGUACUGGAUGGCUUGAGAUUGGGAGAGGGAUGCGGAAUUCCAGGUGUAGCGGUGAAAUGCGUAGAUAUAGGAAGGAACACCAGUGGCGAAGGCGACCACCUGGACUGAUACUGACACUGAGGCGCGAAAGCGUGGGGAGCAAACAGG
rnacentral:rRNA from 1 species